CGACUGUGUUCGCCGCUGUCGCCGUUCUUUAAGUGUAGCCUGUUCUUGUGGGCACAGGUUCGCCCAAUAAAAGUUAGUUUCGUCUUCCAUA
rnacentral:lncRNA from 1 species